rnacentral:lncRNA from 1 species
CAAAAAAUAAAGAGAUAAAAAAGGCUCAAGGCUUAAACAAGUCAAUUUCUAACCCCUAAACAAGCUAAAGGGCUAGACCGCCACAAGUUGAGCCACAAGUUGAAAUCAUAAUCGAAGCCAUGCUUACGGGUCUUUAGCCACCACCAAGAAGCAAUUUUCACUUUCUCUACCAAUACUUCAACAUAUAAUGUUUUAUGGACAAACAACUAUUAUUUCUUUCUUUCCAAAGAUAUCCGGAACAAGCUAACCAUAACACUUGAAAUCCAAUCUGCACCUCUUUGCCAAUGAAAAUAAUAUUACAAAAUUGUGAUACAUGAUCGGUUACAACAUUUGAAACUUUUUUUUUUUUUUUGACAAUUGAAUGAAAAUGUAACUUAG